UACGUAGGGUGCAAGCGUUGUCCGGAUUUAUUGGGCGUAAAGAGCUCGUAGGCGGUUUGUCGCGUCGGAUGUGAAAACCCAGGGCUCAACCCUGGGCCUGCAUUCGAUACGGGCAGCCUAGAGUAUGGCAGGGGAGACUGGAAUUCCUGGUGUAGCGGUGAAAUGCGCAGAUAUCAGGAGGAACACCGGUGGCGAAGGCGGGUCUCUGGGCCAAAACUGACGCUGAGGAGCGAAAGCGUGGGGAGCGAACAGG
rnacentral:rRNA from 1 species